rnacentral:rRNA from 1 species
UACGAAGGGGGCUAGCGUUGCUCGGAAUCACUGGGCGUAAAGGGUGCGUAGGCGGGUUUUAAGUCAGGGGUGAAAUCCUGGAGCUCAACUCCAGAACUGCCUUUGAUACUGAAGAUCUUGAGUCCGGGAGAGGUGAGUGGAACUGCGAGUGUAGAGGUGAAAUUCGUAGAUAUUCGCAAGAACACCAGUGGCGAAGGCGGCUCACUGGCCCGGUACUGACGCUGAGGCACGAAAGCGUGGGGAGCAAACAGGG